rnacentral:tRNA from 1 species
ACGCCUGUAGCAUAGCGGUUAAUGCUACCCGCUCAUAACGGGUUGAUCGGCAGUUCGAAUCUGUCCGGGCGUACCA